rnacentral:rRNA from 1 species
AUGGAUCAGCUUUUCAUUACAACGGACAAGUUUGAUGUAAAACUAGGACAUGUCUCCGAAAGCUUCAAGGUCGGUAAAUCAAUAAGCACCGAAGCAAUAGAGCCCAUGCUAACAAUCUUGAGAAAACAACUCAAUGGCACACCGAGAAAGAUUCUGUCGUUAAGCAACAUUUUCCCUCUACCAUGUUCGUUGUGCGGGUUUGAGCAAAACGAAACUAUAAGUCAUUACUUCACCAUCACAGUUAACAUGCAAAAACAGCGCUUUGAACUCCUUGACUCUUCAACUGCAUAUCCAGGCACAAUAGAAUUCUUCAACAAUGUAACCAGCAAACUAAUGAAAAUCUGGAAGCACAUAAGCACAGAGCUACAUCUUUCAGAAAAAAGCAUCGACCAUUACAAAAAGGUCAGACUGCAGGUGCCACUUCAAGGAGAAGACACAAUGGACUGCGCAUUCUAUAUGUACAUGAACCUGAAGCACUACUCCAGUGAUGGAACAACAGCAACCUUAAAGCCAAAACAAGUACGAAAGUUGAGGAAAAAGGUUCUAUAUCAACUAAUCAGUCAACACAGAGGGAAUACAAAAUUGUCACUAAUCAAGUGUACAACAGAUAUGCUGAAAUAUGAAGUAGAUAUGAAAGACAAAGAAAUGCAACAAGCAGAAUGUUGCGUACUAGAAGAGUUUCCGCCAACUACCGGGUCAAAAGAACAUAUUAUGCAUGCGACAACCACACAAGAGCAUGAAGUUAUUGAUAUAUCCAGUAAACGCAAAGAUAUUAUGGAUGUCAGCAGCCACGCCGUUGCCCAACAAUCUUGCACAGACCAUGAACAAAAUGAUCCACCAAUAGAACCAGAUCAACCACCACCAGACGACAAGAUACCACACCAUCCCGAAGAGGAAACAGACGAGCAAAAUAUCAACAGCAAUAUCACGACCAUAGAGCAACUGGAACAAACAGACACUGAUUUAAAAGAGGAUGACAGAAGCAAUGACGUACCAAAUACACAACAACAGGUUUCCGAGCAGAAGAAAUAG